UUUGGGGAUCUGGAGCUGGACUCUGGCUCGAUCUACAAGGCGUUUUCGCAUGCUCCUCUCUUUUGCCUUGUGUUAUUUCUUUCUUUUUCUCUUGGAUUUUGUCAUUUAGAUGGAUAAUGUUGGAUUUGUUCUCUUGUUUGUUCAAUUUUGUAAAUUUCUCCGUUUGAUUGUUCGAUCAUGUCUCUUGAUUAUUCUCUUAGAUCUGAAAUAUAUAUUUUUUGCCUCCUUCUCUUUUAUCUUAACAUUAUGUGGUUCUAGAUCUGCUCUCACACCUUUAAGCAUGUUGACAUCUUCUCUCAACAUCAUCCUCUUCCGUGCUCGAUGCGAUUGGGGCCAUAAUCGCUCGCCGCGCCUUCAAGAACCUUUGAAGCAUCUGACAUUCUCAAACCCUAAUAUUGGUUCAGAUCUGUCAAGACCCCUAAAGUUGGUGAUGAAGAAUUAAGGCAAUGACAUAUGAAAAGAUGAAUCUGCAACAGAUUUCAAGUUAGAGGGCGGGCUGGCGCAGUGGUGAAGUCCUCCCCACUUGUCCGUUCUGGAUUUGAACCAGCCUCUCUGCAUUGCGCUUCGCAUGGGCAAAACAAGGUUCCUAUGAUCCCUCCCUAGACCCCAUCUUGUGUGAGAGCUUCUAUGCACUUGAAAUCCCUGACAAUAUCAGCAAGCCAACGGGGAAGAGUGCCAAUGCUCCUUCAGAAUCUCCACGGCAUGAUCAACGGCAUAUAUUAUCAUCUUCUUCACCUGCGCCAAAUAGAAGGUAAGGUUGUCAAGUAACGGCUCAUGGUUAUCGAUGCAAUUAUUUACAAGUAAAAUUAGUCAAUAUGCAUCGGAAAAGAUAAUGUGUGUUCUUUGUUGCAACAUACAUCAAAAUUCAAAUCGUAUGAUCAGCCCUAAAUUUCGGCCCAACUAAAAGCCCACCUGAAACAGUACCACUCUGAUGCCCUAAUCCACUCUUCUCCAGAAAUUACAUAUCUUUGCAAAGGUUACCCCAAAAUGCAUUAGUGCCGACACGUGGUGGGUUUUCUCUACAAAUUUACGGGUUUUUUUACCAUCGGAAGAGAAAAGGCAUGUUAUCUCUAAAUUUAAAAACGUUUUCACCUUGCAUUUCCUUUCAUUACGCGUUUGAUAGCCUGCAUACAGCCCAGGCCCACUGGAUGCAGCUUUUUUGGUUAUAUGCAAACACAGUUGGGCCUGCACGGCACGAUAGUAUCCAGCAGGCCCGAGUUAUGCUCUCGAGCCCACGUGGAUGGCUCUGACAACACUUUGCAGGUAUUUUCCUAUAAUCACCUUUUAAUCUCCUUCAUCGCUUCUACAUAAUCAUGCUUCGAUUCAGGAAAAGUUAUACACAAAAAAUAUGCACCUCGAUGUUCUAAUUCCAUUCAAGCGAUCGGAUCAUAGUUUCGUUCACUGUAUGUGUUGAAUUUCGUGUUCAUAUUUGAAUCUUUUUUGGACAAACUUUGACAAAUUCAUGGCAGACGGUUGACCGUUUGAAGUUUCCUUUGACUAGUAGCUUCACCUCGCUGUCUGACACAACUUUCGUGUUGUGGGUUUUUCAUUUCACAAAUCAUAGAUGAAUAGAUCUGCAUACGACCAGUGUACUGUAAUCACUGUAAUCGAUUCCUAAUCACCCUCCUAUUCUCCUUCAUUCGUAAUCUCGUUCACCAGUCUCUUCUAAUCUACACAACCGUGCAUCGAUUUGAUAUAAGUUGUACAUGGAAAAGAUGCACGGCGUUGUUGUGGUUCCAUUCAGACAAUUGGUUCGUAAUGUAGAUGUUCAAUUUCAUGUUUAUGUUUGAAGCUAUUUUGGAUGAAUUUCGAUACAUUCAUCAUGUACUGUUCACCGUUUGAGUUUUCCUUCGACGGUAGGGAUUGAAGAACUGCCAACCUGGUACCUUGUGAAGGCGUGUGUGCGCCGUAGUCAGCAUCGUCGCCGACCUUGUGCCAUGCGGGAAGCUUCGAUGGCAUCUCGCCGCCAGUCUCGUUCUACAAUUAGGUGUGGCUGCCGGCGUCGGUUUGUUUGGCUUUAGUUGCGACGUGGAGGUAGCCCUUGUGCCCUGCCUCUGCUGGUACACCGACAUCGACCAAUAGUCAUGCCCCUGGUUGUCGUAGUCGUCCCGCCUGUGGUCACCGAAGCACUCGUGUGCAUUCUACUGUAAUCUCUAUGUUCAAGUGUAGUUAUCAACUCCUAAUCACCAUACAUGUAUGCAACCAAACAUCAGGUGAAAUUUGUUUUCAUGAUGACAAGACCUCAUAUGCAGGCAACCAAACAACAUGCAAACGUCGUGUUUUA